UAGGGAAUUUUUCACAAUGGACGAAAGUCUGAUGAAGCAAUGCCGCGUGAGUGAUGAAGGUCUUCGGAUCGUAAAGCUCUGUUGUAAAGGAAGAAUAGAUAGAAGAGGAAAUGCUUUUAUUUUGACGGUACUUUACCAGAAAGCCACGGCUAACUAUGUGCCAGCAGCCGCGGUAAUACAUAGGUGGCAAGCGUUAUCCGGAUUUAUUGGGCGUAUAGGGUGCGUAGGCGGUUACGUAAGUUUAGGGUCAAAUCCAGGAGCUCAACUCCUGUUCGCCUUGAAAACUACGUAACUAGAAUACAAGAGAGGUAAGCGGAAUUCCAUGUGUAGCGGUGAAAUGCGUAGAUAUAUGGAAGAACACCUGUGGCGAAAGCGGCUUACUGGCUUGUUAUUGACGCUGAGGCACGAAAGCGUGGGGAGCAAAUA
rnacentral:rRNA from 1 species